rnacentral:rRNA from 1 species
AACGAACGCUGGCGGCAUGCCUAACACAUGCAAGUCGAACGAGACCUUCGGGUCUAGUGGCGCACGGGUGCGUAACGCGUGGGAAUCUGCCCUAGGGUGCGGAAUAACUCGGAGAAAUCCGUGCUAAUACCGCAUAAUGUCUUCGGACCAAAGAUUUAUCGCCCUGGGAUGAGCCCGCGUAGGAUUAGCUAGUUGGUGGGGUAAAGGCCUACCAAGGCGACGAUCCUUAGCUGGUCUGAGAGGAUGAUCAGCCACACUGGGACUGAGACACGGCCCAGACUCCUACGGGAGGCAGCAGUGGGGAAUAUUGGACAAUGGGCGAAAGCCUGAUCCAGCAAUGCCGCGUGAGUGAUGAAGGCCCUAGGGUUGUAAAGCUCUUUUACCCGGGAUGAUAAUGACAGUACCGGGAGAAUAAGCUCCGGCUAACUCCGUGCCAGCAGCCG